rnacentral:tRNA from 1 species
AUCCUUAUAGUUGAACUACAACAAAAACUUUUCACGCUUUAAGCUCGGAUGAAAACCCCGAUAAGGAUC